rnacentral:rRNA from 1 species
ACGAGUGGUGCAAGCGUUAUUCGGAAUAAUUGGGCGUUCAGGGCGGGUAGGUGGUAUGUUAAGACUGUUGUAAAAGACUCUAGCCUAACUGGAGAAAGGCAAUGGAAACAGGUGUACUAGAGUGUGGAAGAGAGAAAUGGAAUUCUCGUUGUAGCGGUAGUAAGAGUAGAUCUCGCGAGGAACGCCGAUGGCGAAGGCAGCUUAUUAGUCCAUACCUGACUCUUAUGCGCGAAAGCGAGGGAAGCAAAUAG